rnacentral:rRNA from 1 species
CCUACGGGAGGCAGCAGUGAGGAAUAUUGGUCAAUGGGCGAGAGCCUGAACCAGCCAAGUCGCGUGAGGGAGUACUGCCCUAUGGGUUGUAAACCUCUUUUGUCGGGGAGCAAAAGCCGGACGUGUCCGGCUGUGAGAGUACCCGAAGAAAAAGCAUCGGCUAACCCCGUGCCAGCAGCCGCGGUAAUACGGAGGAUGCGAGCGUUAUCCGGAUUUAUUGGGUUUAAAGGGUGCGCAGGCGGAUUUUUAAGUCAGCGGUCAAAUCGUGGGGCUCAACCCCAUCCAGCCGUUGAAACUGGGGGUCUAGAGUGUGGGAGAGGUAUGCGGAAUGCGUGGUGUAGCGGUGAAAUGCAUAGAUAUCACGCAGAACCCCGAUUGCGAAGGCAGCAUACCGGUGCACAACUGACGCUCAGGCACGAAAGCGUGGGUAUCGAACAGGAUUAGAUACCCGUGUAGUC